rnacentral:rRNA from 1 species
UGGGGGAUAUUGCACAAUGGAGGAAACUCUGAUGCAGCAACGCCGCGUGAGGGAAGAAGGUCUUCGGAUUGUAAACCUCAGUAGUCAGGGACGAAAGAAAUGACGGUACCUGAAGAGUAAGCUCCGGCUAACUACGUGCCAGCAGCCGCGGUAAUACGUAGGGAGCGAGCGUUGUCCGGAUUUACUGGGUGUAAAGGGUGCGUAGGCGGGAUAGCAAGUCAGACGUGAAAUACCGAGGCUUAACUUCGGGGCUGCGUUUGAAACUGUUAUUCUUGAGUGAAGUAGAGGCAGGCGGAAUUCCUAGUGUAGCGGUGAAAUGCGUAGAUAUUAGGAGGAACACCAGUGGCGAAGGCGGCCUGCUGAGCUUUAACUGACGCUGAGGCACGAAAGCAUGGGGAGCAAACA